GCCUGGGUGGCUCAGUCAGUUAAGUGUCUGACUUCGGCUCAGGUUGUGAUCUGCCGGUCCGUGGGUUCCAGCCCCACCGCGGGCU
rnacentral:tRNA from 1 species